UUGCCUCACAGCACGGAGAAAGUGAAACUAAAGUUUGUUCGUGGUCGGAGAGAGUUCAGCUGGAGCGUAUAUUUCUUUCAUCUUAAUCUUUGACAUAAUGUGACAUGAGCUCUCUGAGAUCCACUGUGUCUGUUCUUCAUCCAGAGAUCAUGAUGGAGUUCAUUAUUGUGGUUUUGCUUUCUUCUCUCCCUGCGGUGGGGGUUACAGCAAACUCACAGUUGAUUUGUUCACAUCAACCAAUCACAGCCCUGCCCGGUGAUGAUGUCAUUCUACCAUGUCACCUUGAACCUCCCAUCAGUGUUUCUGAUGAGACAGUGGAGUGGACCAGACCUGAUUUAGACCCAAAGUACAUCCACCUUCACCAGGAUGGACGAUUUAUAUAUAAAACUCAAAAUCCAUCUUAUAAUCUCCGCACGGGACUGUUUAUGGAUGGACUGAUGACAGGAAACGUCUCCAUGAAAAUCUCCAAAGUGAAAGUUUCUGAUACAGGAAGAUACCAAUGUGCCCUUCCCUCAUUACAGAAGGAAGCUUCCAUCCAGCUCAUUGUUAGAGAGCCUAAAGUUAUUGGCUCAGACAAACCAGUUACAGUAACAGUCGGUGAUAACGUCAUCCUGCCAUGUCAACUGGAGCCUCCAUUCGAUGUGACGACUCUAACAGUGGAGUGGACACGUGAUGGAAAAUAUGUGCAUGUCUAUAGAAGUAGGAAGGACUAUCUAACUGAUCAGGAUGAGAACUUCAGAAAUAGAACAUCUCUCUUCUAUGAAGAAAUGAUCAGAGGAAACAUUUCACUAAAACUGACCAACGUAACUGAACUGGAUGCUGGAAGUUACACCUGCUCUGUUCCCAAACUGGAAAGUCAGGUCUGGAGAGGCUUCAUUAACCUCACUGUUGAGCCAGUGGAGAACGGGAACAAAGGAGGUCAGACUGAUGAUACCAACACAGAGCCAGGUAAGUGCUGUCUUUACUGCAGUCCACAAUGUACACAGAUAUCACUCCUGUUUCUCUCCUCCUUACAAUAUGAACCUGAGAAUGAGCAUAAUAUGACCUCUUUAACCUCAAAAGUAAUCAGAGUAAUUCUGAAUGUAAUGCUUCAUUUGACAGGACGCCAUUCUAACAAAUAAUGAACUCAUUCAUCAUCUCAGAGCACACUGAUAGAGGACUACUGAAAGGUCCAGUGUGUAACAUUAAGGAGGAUCUAUUGUCACCGCCAUGUUUCUACAGUAGCCCAGAACACAUUUGGAAGUUUUAUUCACUUGUUUGCAAUCUGUAACUUCACCACUAGAUGGCACUGAAUCCUCCACAGCGGUCCUUUAAAUAACCCUGGAUCCUCGUAUUUCUGGAGAAUAUUCUCACUGAUAAUACUGUUUGUUUACUGUUGUGCAAUGAAAGAGAUUCUAACCAACAGACAGUUUUGGUGGGAUGGACUCCAAGUACACAUUGAGACCAUGAACAGGAGAAGUGGCUGUGGAAAUAUUGUUGAUGGAUGUUAUCUUGGAACAGUGAAGAACAAAUCUCAACAUCUUUCCUCUGUUCUUUCAGGUGGUGACACUGGUAAUAACACUGGUGCUAAAAUUGGCAUUGCUUUUGGUGUCAUUGCUGUCAUUGCUGUCAUUGCUGUCGUUGUUGCAGUUGCUGUAUUGUGGAUGAAACGUAGAAAUAGAAGACAAGAGAGAGAAUAUCUUCCAGCACAGAGGGACAGCUGAAGCAAUCCCGUUGGAAUAAUGACAGAAAAAUCAGGUACCUCCAGUAAAACAUCCUGGUUGUCACGAUUCUGAGGCUGAACCCAAAAGCAUUAUGGUCUGGAGACUGGCUGAAGUCUGGGGUUUGAGUCCUGUGAUGAAGGUGGUAGAGGCAAACUGGUGCAGAGAGCUGGCAGACAGGCGAAUCUGGUAGCAGAGGAAACCGUUAUAAGAAUUUGGUAAGCUGGCUAACAAGUUCAAAGGAGGUGAAGCAAGGCACACAACAUACUGGGUGUGGUACAACGAUCAAGCAGGGACUGGAUGUCAGCCAGGCUUCUUAUAGUGGUGAGGUGCAGUCUUGAUCGAAGGCAGGUGUGCUUGAUUGUGGGUGAGCAGCAGGUGAGUGGAGACAGAGAGAGAGGACAAGGGGGGAAGAACAAGCAGACAAACCCAACAAGAAACAACCUCACUAACACCAAGGUAGAAAACAAAACCACAUAAUCCCACAAUCACACACCAGGAGUGAUGACAGGUUAAUCAGAAAAAAUAACCAACAUGCACAUUAAGCAAAGAUAACAAUGUUCUGAUGUGAAAAUGUCAGAAUGUGUUUUUCUAAAGGUUCAUACAGUCAGUACAGACUGAAGUUAUGUGAGAGCUUUUCCUUUGUAUUCACCAUAAACUGGAUGAUCCUGUUUGACCUCAUGGUGGCGCUGUGUAUCAGUAAGUAUCAUCUGCAAGUACUCAGUGUGCAGUAAAAUGUUCCCUGUCACUGUUUUACUUUUAUAAAUGAUGUUUUUGGUUUCAUUUUUUUUACUGCAUUUCACUGUUGUAGAUAUUUAUGGUUGAACUCAUUUGAAGUACUUUGUGGGUCAGUACAGAGCAGAGUUAUGUUUGAAGAAGAAAUACAGACCAUUUCAUCCAGAACUUCUUUCUAUGUGAAUGUUGAUUGUGUAAUAUUCUUGAUUGAAAUGCAGCUGUAGGGAAUUGUUCAGAAGUUCUUUCUGAUGUGUUGAUUGUAUAAACCACUGCCAGGACAGAGUUGGUGUCUCAGAUACUUUAACUGGAUUCAAUCUCUGUCCAAUGUUAAUGUCCAGCUCCCUCUAUUGACUUUUACAUUGUAGAAUUGUUUAACCAGAAGGAAUAAUGAAAAGCACUUUUAUUAUUUUAAGGUACCAUUGUUAAAUUGUGUGUGUAAGUAUCAAUGGUUGCAUUUAUUUCCUUACAUUGUUUAACUCCCGGUAUUUUAUUUAUUCAUUGUUUCUGCUUCAUGUUAUCUUCUUUUUACUGCCCUGUGUGUGAAAAUCACCAUACUGUAUGAAAUGCAGUCUGCUGUCAUAUAACAGCUGUCUGUUCUGUAUACUAACAUCUGGACUGCAGGAGGCUGAAACUGUGAUUGUUUGGAAAUAAAAAGAUUUUUGUUUUAA